rnacentral:misc_RNA from 1 species
GAUGAAGAACGCAGUGAAAUGCGAUACUUGGUGUGAAUUGCAGAAUCCAGUGAACCAUCGAGUCUUUGAACGCAAGUUGCGCCCGAAGCCAUUAGGCCGAGGGCACGCCUGCCUGGGCGUCACACGUCGUUGCCCCCCCAUCUACUCCUUCGGGAUUGCGGGGGGCGGAUGAUGGCCUCUCGUGCGCCUCGUCGCGCGGUUGGCCUAAAUGCCAAGUCCUCGGCGACGCACGCCACGACAAUCGGUGGUUGCGAAACCUCGGUUGCCUGUCGUGUGCGGUCGUCGCGCAUCGAGGGCUCGAAAAAAUUGCCGGGCUUCGGCUCGACUUUCAACGCGACCCCAGGUCAGGCGGGGUUACCCGCUGAAUUUAAGCAUAUCAAUAAGCGGAGGA